rnacentral:rRNA from 1 species
GCAGGCUUCAUACAUGCAAGUCGAGGGGCAGCAUAAAUUACUUGUAAUUUGAUGGCGACCGGCGAACGGGUGCGUAACGCGUAUGCAACUUACCUUUUACUAGAGAAUAGCCAAGAGAAAUUUUGAUUAAUGCUCUAUGUUCUUAUUUACUCGCAUGAGUAAAUAAGCAAAGCUCCGGCGGUAAAAGAUGGGCAUGCGUCCUAUUAGCUUGUAGGUGAGGUAAUGGCUCACCUAAGCUCCGAUAGGUAGGGGUCCUGAGAGGGAGAUCCCCCACACUGGUACUGAGACACGGACCAGACUUCUACGGAAGGCAGCAGUAAGGAAUAUUGGACAAUGGAGGCAACUCUGAUCCAGCCAUGCCGCGUGAAGGAAGACGGCCUUAUGGGUUGUAAACUUCUUUUAUACAGGAAGAAACCUUUCCACGUGUGGAAAGCUGACGGUACUGUAAGAAUAAGGAUCGGCUAACUCCGUGCCAGCAGCCGCGGUAAUACGGAGGAUCCAAGCGUUAUCCGGAAUUAUUGGGUUUAAAGGGUCCGCAGGCUGUUUGUUAAGUCAGAGGUGAAAUCCUACCGCUCAACGGUAGAACUGCCUUUGAUACUGGCAAACUUGAGUUAUUGUGAAGUAGUUAGAAUGUGUAGUGUAGCGGUGAAAUGCAUAGAUAUUACACAGAAUACCGAUUGCGAAAGCAGAUUACUAACAAUAUACUGACGCUGAGGGACGAAAGCGU